UACGGAGGGGGCUAGCGUUGUUCGGAAUUACUGGGCGUAAAGCGCACGUAGGCGGCUUUGUAAGUUAGAGGUGAAAGCCCGGGGCUCAACUCCGGAACUGCCUUUAAGACUGCAUCGCUUGAACAUCGGAGAGGUGAGUGGAAUUCCGAGUGUAGAGGUGAAAUUCGUAGAUAUUCGGAAGAACACCAGUGGCGAAGGCGACUCACUGGACGAUUGUUGACGCUGAGGUGCGAAAGCGUGGGGAGCAAACAGG
rnacentral:rRNA from 1 species